UUGUAAAUUGUGCUUCUUGUUGGCGAUUCUCUGUACAAAGGACGAAAACGAAAACUGGCAAUUAAAAUAAGCAACGCGUAGAAUAUUUUAAACGAAAAACUGUUUCAACAUUCUUUAAUGCAACUAAUUCUAAGGCUCUAAGCGCCACCUAUUUCCGGUAGUCAAAAUGUGCCAUGGCGGCUUCCUGUCAAUUGGAUGUGUGCGUAGCACGGGAGCUUCAAUGGUACAUCUCAGCUUUUUUGGUUAUCCCCAGCUGUUCCUUAUAUUUCCGCGUGAUAACUCUUUCUUGUACCAAAUACAAUACCGAAUAGGGAUCGUAUAGAAGCUCAGAGGCUGCACCUGUCAUUCACAUAGACAGUUUAGCCAUUGUCAAAGCAGCAAUUUCUACUGGCACAGCAACGCUCAUCUGAAUGGCAUCUGUCAAUGUCGUCAACUACUCGGACAUUAAUGUCUGGAUACAAAUUGGGUUGAUCUUGUAUGCCAUGCCCAACAUCAGAGUAGGUUUUCUGUUUCUGCCAGCACUUUUGCUCAUGCACUUUCAUUUUCCUCCGGUCCGGGAGUUGUGGAAAGAAGCUGUCUGCAGUAGCUGGAAGUGUAGUCCUAAGCCUUUGGCUCGUAAGCAUUUUCACUAGCGAGGAGCUAUUUUUCAGAAGGCUCAGUCUAUAAUCGUGUGUCUUGUAGGCAUCACCUGACGUCUCAAGGGAGUUCUUGGAUAAGUUUACGGUGGCUUCUGUGAGAUCAUUGCGCUGUUGGUAGCGUGGACUGCACGCCAUUUGUUGGAAUUCUUAUGAAUUCUGCAAACAGCGAGCUGCACCCUUUUGCAAGCUACAGU
rnacentral:lncRNA from 1 species